rnacentral:tRNA from 3 species
GUGGCAGUUAGGUAACAUGACUUUUAAUCAAGUUGUCCGGGGUUCGAAUCCCCGAUGCUUCA